GCAAUAAUAGCUUAAAUUAAAGUUUUGGUCUUGUAAGCCAAAGAUGAAAAAAUUCUUAUUGCU
rnacentral:tRNA from 1 species